CAAGGUUAACCGAAUAGGGGAGCCGAAGGGAAACCGAGUCUUAACUGGGCGUUAAGUUGCAGGGUAUAGACCCGAAACCCGGUGAUCUAGCCAUGGGCAGGUUGAAGGUUGGGUAACACUAACUGGAGGACCGAACCGACUAAUGUUGAAAAAUUAGCGGAUGACUUGUGGCUGGGGGUGAAAGGCCAAUCAAACCGGGAGAUAGCUGGUUCUCCCCGAAAGCU
rnacentral:rRNA from 1 species